rnacentral:rRNA from 1 species
CACGUAGGUGGCAGCGUAAGUCAGAGGUGAAAGCCCUCGGCUCAACCGAGGAAUUGCCUCUGAAACUGCACUGCUUGAGUCCGGGAGGGGGGAGCGGAAUUCCCAGUGUAGCGGUGAAAUGCGUAGAUACUGGGAGGAACACCGGUGGCGAAGGCGGCUCCCUGGACCGGUACUGACACUGAGGUGCGAAAGCGUGGGUAGCAAACA